rnacentral:rRNA from 1 species
UACGGGGGGGGGCAAGCGUUGUUCGGAAUUACUGGGCGUAAAGGGCUCGUAGGCGGCCAACUAAGUCAGACGUGAAAUCCCUCGGCUUAACCGGGGAACUGCGUCUGAUACUGGUUGGCUUGAAUCCGGGAGAGGGAUGUGGAAUUCCAGGUGUAGCGGUGAAAUGCGUAGAUAUCUGGAGGAACACCGGUGGCGAAGGCGGCAUCCUGGACCGGUAUUGACGCUGAGGCACGAAAGCGUGGGUAGCAAACAGG